UACAGAGGGGGCAAGCGUUGUUCGGAAUUACUGGGCGUAAAGGGCGCGUAGGCGGCCUACUAAGUCAGACGUGAAAUCCCCCGGCUUAACCUGGGAACUGCGUCUGAUACUGGAAGGCUUGAGGAUGGGAGAGGGAUGUAGAAUUCCUGGUGUAGAGGUGAAAUUCGUAGAUAUCAGGAGGAACACCGGUGGCGAAGGCGGCUUCCUGGACACUUACUGACGCUGAGACGCGAAAGCGUGGGGAGCAAACAGG
rnacentral:rRNA from 1 species